CAGUCGCCGCGGUAAUACGGAGGGUGCAAGCGUUAAUCGGAAUUACUGGGCGUAAAGCGCACGCAGGCGGUCUGACAAGUCAGAUGUGAAAUCCCCGGGCUUAACCUGGGAACUGCAUUUGAAACUGUCAGGCUGGAGUCUUGUAGAGGGGGGUAGAAUUCCAGGUGUAGCGGUGAAAUGCGUAGAGAUCUGGAGGAAUACCGGUGGCGAAGGCGGCCCCCUGGACAAAGACUGACGCUCAGGUGCGAAAGCGUGGGGAGCAAACAGGAUUAGAUAACCGAGUAGUCCCUGUCUCUUAUAC
rnacentral:rRNA from 1 species